CCAUCGGCCCUUUUCAGGGCCAUCAAAUUUGUGGAAAAGAGCAAUAU
rfam:Aedes aegypti strain Liverpool supercont1.164 genomic scaffold, whole genome shotgun sequence.